GGCGGCUGCUGGCAGGCGGCGCAGCUGCUGCCGUUUUUCGAAGAGGCGCUGGCGGCGUUCGGCCCGCAGCGGCUGAUG
rnacentral:tRNA from 1 species